GGUCCUAAACUUACCGCUGUUUUUGACUAAAAUUACACAUGCAAGUAUCCGCAUGCCGGUGAAAACGAGCCCAAAAAUUUAAGAGGAGCAGGUAUCAGGCGCGAAAUUCAGCCCAAGACACCUUGCCACGCCACACCCCCACGGGAACUCAGCAGUGAUAGACAUUGGGCCAUAAGCGACAACCACCCCCAAGCUCGACCCAGCUAUAGUCAUCAAGGGCCGGCUAAUCUCGUGCCAGCCGCCGCGGUUAUACGAGAGGCCCAAAUCAGCAUAUAACGGCGUAAAUUGUGACUAGAUGAAGCUACCAACAAAGGGGAGAAAUCAACCCGAUUAGUAAAAUAUAAGAUAAAAGAACCCCCUUUGCUUAAAGCACUUUGAACUCACGAAAGCUAAGAAACAAACUAGGAUUAGAUACCCUACUAUGCUUAGCCAUUAAUACGCCACAUACCAACAACCGUGGUCGCCAGAGAAUUACAAGCGAAAAGCUUAAAACUCAAAAGACUUGGCGGUGCCCCAAAUCAACUUAGAGGAGCCUGUCCUAUAAUCGAUACCCCACGAUAAACCAAACCCCUCUUUGCCAAAUCAGCCUAUAUACCGCCGUCGCAAACCUACCUCACAAGAGAUAAGUCGUAGGUAAAAUAGUAUCCCACUAAAACGUCAGGUCAAGGUGUAGCUAAUAGAGGGGAAGAGAUGGGCUACAUUCUUUAAUAAUAUAAAGCAUACAGAAAGAGCCCUGAAAUCUCUCUCGAAGGUGAAUUUAAUAGUAAACCUGGUAAGAAAGCCAGUUUUAAUACUGCUCUGGGGCGCGCACACACCGCCCGUCACCCUCAU
rnacentral:ncRNA from 1 species